GAACUCUGGAGAACCCCGUGAAAGACCGGGUGCCGAAGGUGCAAGGCGAUUCCAUGAUAAGGAAUCGCUGAAUCUCUCAGGCAAAAGGACAGAGCAG
rnacentral:ncRNA from 1 species